AGAGGGAAGCCGGAUGGCGGAAACACUGCCAAUCCCGUCAGGCCUGAGAGGGAGCAGCGGUAACAGUUGUUUCCGGGUGUCUGGCUUCCCUCUGAA
rnacentral:SRP_RNA from 1 species